CCACUCCCCAGUCAUUCCCAACUGGCCACACACAUCGCGUCGUCUUUCUGUCCCCUCUCAAUGCUGGGGCCCAGCUCGCCGCUUGUUCCCAGGGGUCGCAGGGGCAGCCAUGGCUCAGGACCCUGCUUGCUGGGAGGUGCGUGGGGGGCAUGUGGGAACGGGGAGCGACUGGAGCUGGGGACCCUCCACUCAGCUGUCUCCUGUGGCAGACACAUGGAGCACAUUAGCAGGCUCUCAGUACAAGUUUGAUUGAUGGGGGGAGGCAUUCUAACUGACUAUCAAAGCAUGCCUGCUAUGUGAGAAGCAGACCCCAAUUAGUGGUGCCUUUUUAAAGGCUGCCUUGUUAAGCGGGGAAUAAGGGAAAAGAAUGAAAUUGGCCAGAAAACAUGGAGCUAUUUAACCUUAAUUAGAGGGAAGGUGUGGGCUUUGUGAAAAGGCCAUUUCUGAAAGGGAUUUUUCUCCCUGGGUACAAAGAGAUCCUGCCUGCUUGUUAUAGACUUGUUAGAAUUUAUAAGACUGGGCAGGAGACUAACUUGUAGAAAUGCCUUUUAUGCCACUUGAAUGUGUGGCUUGCUUAUUAUACACUGCCAUGCUGCCAUGAUGGCUGGUGGAGAGGAGGGGAGCGAGCAACCUUGCCAACUGGCUAUAAAUUUCAUGAACAUCAUAAAUGUAAGUGCUUUCUGGAGAGCUGUACAGAUUGCACAUAAAAGUCCCCCUUCUGUCCCUGUAAACUGAAAAGAGGGCUUUCUUGGCAAAUUAACCAUUGUAGAUAGCACUCCAUGCUGAGCGAGGAUGCAGAAAGGCUGCAAAUCCAGAGCUACAAAGUCACAACCGCAAGGGGAGGUCUCCAACGGAUCUCGGUGCCUCCACUCCCACGGCAAGCGUUGAUCCCGUCCGUGAUGGUUGAAGCUCUGCACUCGGCUGGCUCCCGCUGCCUUUCCGCCUAUGUGGGUUCAAGUUCCCAUUGCAGUACCGGAUGAUUUUACUUUGGUGCCAUAAGGAGCACAAAGAUAAUCUGAUGACUACACAGUAGGAGCAUUUAAAAUCGUCUAGGCAAGCACAGAGCAGGACACUCUGCCACUGGCCACCUGAGCCCAGGGCCACCCUGUGAGUGCACAGACAGCUGGAAGGAGGCACUUUAAAGCAUAACAUGAUGACUAUAUCCAUUUGACUAACUCACUGUGACCAGCCCACUGGGGUAGGUGAGAAGGGGGGAUCAGAGCUUUCAACUGACAGUGCACCAAGUUCUCUGGGAUUAUUCAUUGGCAGGCAGCAUGGGAAGUUGUUUGGGCAAAGACGUGAAUCUCCAUCCCCUAAGAAUGUCAGAAGCAAAACACGAGCGG
rnacentral:lncRNA from 1 species